AUAGUAUAGAUUCAUUUCAUUAAUCGAAGUUUUGCCUUAAUAUCUGAAUGAUGAGUUACACUUUAUACUUCUCGUCAUAAUGACCAGUUGAAAGUAUCUGAUUAUAUCACUUAAAUUCCAAUAUAUCAAUAUCGGAUUGAUACCGAUGUUUAAAAAUAUAUUAAUUGAACACAACAGUAAAGUAUAUAAGUUAAGUAUGCAGCCUUUAAAAAGAAAGUAUGUAUACAUAAACAUGCUCCCUAUUUCAUCUGCGUCGACUGGUUCCGUUCUCUGGAUUCCUUAGGUUUUACAUUAAUUGUUAAAUCUUAGCUAUGUUCCUAGAGAAAUCUAUAGAUAUUCUAUCCAAAAGUAGUCAUUUCAUUAAAUUUUAUUUCAUCAUCAUCCUUUUCUUUAUGUGUAAAGUAAACUAGAGGCUCUCAAGAGCCUAUGCCGCUCACCUGAAAUACUUGGGUUUUCGAAAUCAUAUAAAAAAAAGAUAAAAAUCAUAACAGAUACUUAAAUAAUUAUGGAUCGGCUACAAAGUAACAACACUUAGUCAAUGCCUCGUAAGGAACAUUCAUACUAUGUUUGGUUUCAUUCCAUUCAAUGGUUCUCUUAAAGAAGACAUUUGUAUGUAUUUCCCGUAUGGUCCUAUGUUAAACUAAGUCCCCCGCUGGCGGCAAUCAUGGAUGAUGGAUCGGCUACAAAGUAACAACACUUGGUCAGCAUCUUGUAAGAAACAUUCAUGUUAUAUUUGGUUUAAUUCCAUUCAGUGGUUCUCUAAAAGAAGUUCAAAAUGUAAAAAGUUAACGACAACGACGACGACGACGACGACAACGGACGCCAAGUGAUGAGAAAAGCUCACUUGGUCCUUCAGGCCAGGUGAGCUAAAAAAUGACAUAAAUAUGUACACUUCUACGCAAAAUAUUGACUGGUUAAGCAGUCUCGAAUACUUGUGAAUCGGGAGAUUUAGACAAAAUUUAAACAGAAUUACACUCCAGGAUCUGAUUACAAUUCAGAGGUUUGGCUAGCCAUAAAGCUAGGUUCAACCAACCAUUUCUUCUUUAAAGUUCUUAUACCAAUUUGGGAAUAUUGCAGUUGUUUUCAGAUGAAAUUGAGAAUGGAAAUUAGGAUGAUGUCAAAGAGACAAUAACCCGACCAAAAAGCAGAUAACAAAUAGUCUAUAUAUAAUGGCGUUUUGUCUUGUUGACUGAGAGUCAACCAGCAGAGGUAACGCCCCAAAUAUGCAAAUCCUGGAAUGUUGUCCCAUAAGUAUCAUUAGCUCAGUAGCCAUGGCUUCGGUACUAACAUGUUUUAUAACGUUUCUUUUUUC
rnacentral:lncRNA from 1 species